rnacentral:rRNA from 1 species
GCAGUCGAACGGGAUCUAGAAGCUUGCUUUUAGUGAGAGUGGCGCACGGGUGCGUAACGCGUAUGCAACCUACCUUAUACAGGGGGAUAGCCCGGGGAAACUCGGAUUAAUACCCCAUGGUACAUUUGGAUGGCAUCAUUUAAAUGUUAAAGAUUUAUCGGUAUAAGAUGGGCAUGCGUAGGAUUAGCUAGUUGGUAAGGUAACGGCUUACCAAGGCGACGAUCCUUAGGGGUUCUGAGAGGAAGGUCCCCCACACUGGUACUGAGAUACGGACCAGACUCCUACGGGAGGCAGCAGUAGGGAAUAUUGGGCAAUGGUCGAAAGACUGACCCAGCCAUGCCGCGUGCAGGAAGACGGCCUUAUGGGUUGUAAACUGCUUUUAUCAGGGAAGAAAAAGGUCAUGCGUGGCAAAUUGCCGGUACCUGAUGAAUAAGCACCGGCUAACUCCGUGCCAGCAGCCGCGGUAAUACGGAGGGUGCAAGCGUUGUCCGGAUUUAUUGGGUUUAAAGGGUGCGUAGGCGGGGGAUUAAGUCAGUGGUGAAAGUCUUGGGCUCAACCCAGGAAUUGCCAUUGAUACUGAUUUUCUUGAGUGUCGAUGGGGUACAUGGAAUUUAUGGUGUAGCGGUGAAAUGCAUAGAUACCAUAAAGAACACCGAUAGCGAAGGCAUUGUACUUAUCGAUAACU